GAGAGGGGAGGGAAGCAGCUCAUACCGGGCACAUUACGGAGCCAGUUCCAACUGUGGCCAGCUGGAACUUAGUUCUUCUGGAGGACUCUGGACUCAGAGUAGAACAUGUGCCCCAGAGUUCGCCUGUCUGAGGGGCGAGGAGCUGGGUUAUUUAUCUAUCAAGUCCUUCCUGGUUGGAGGUCUCUCCAAGGCAUGCUAACUCCCUGGCACGUACAGCCUGCUACCUGGCUUUCUGCUGCUCAGGAAAGAAAGCUCUCAGGUGUAGACAUGAAGGAGGAAGAUAGCUGGAGCUUUCUGAAGCGCCACCAUGUGAACAAUCUUGGACUGGCCACUGGAGGAUGAGAGACCAUAUGGAACAGAGAUGAUUCAUGUCAACUGAUAUCAGGUCCUAUCCAACUUGGCAGCUGACUGCACGUAUACAAGGGAGCCCAGCCAAGAUAAAAUUGCCCAGCAGAGCCCAGGCCAAAUUACUGACCCACAGAACUGUGAGUUAAAUAAAUAGUUGUUGUUUUGCCA